rnacentral:misc_RNA from 1 species
AAGUCGUAACAAGGUUUCCGUAGGUGAACCUGCGGAAGGAUCAUUACCGAAUUGUCAAACGGGUUGUUGCUGGCCCUCAUAGGGGGCAUGUGCACGCUCUGUUUACACAUCCACUCACACCUGUGCACCCUCUGUAGUUCUAUGGUCUGGGAGACCCUGUCUUCCUUCUGUGGUUCUACGUCUUUACACACACACUGUAAUAAAGUUUUAUGGAAUGUACAUCGCGUCUAACGCAAUACAAUACAACUUUCAGCAACGGAUCUCUUGGCUCUC